GGAUAGUGGCGAACGGGUGAGUAACACGUGGGCAAUCUGCCCUGCACUCUGGGACAAGCCCUGGAAACGGGGUCUAAUACCGGAUACUGAUCCUCGCGGGCAUCUGCGAGGUUCGAAAGCUCCGGCGGUGCAGGAUGAGCCCGCGGCCUAUCAGCUUGUUGGUGAGGUAAUGGCUCACCAAGGCGACGACGGGUAGCCGGCCUGAGAGGGCGACCGGCCACACUGGGACUGAGACACGGCCCAGACUCCUACGGGAGGCAGCAGUGGGGAAUAUUGCACAAUGGGCGAAAGCCUGAUGCAGCGACGCCGCGUGAGGGAUGACGGCCUUCGGGUUGUAAACCUCUUUCAGCAGGGAAGAAGCGAAAGUGACGGUACCUGCAGAAGAAGCGCCGGCUAACUACGUGCCAGCAGCCGCGGUAAUACGUAGGGCGCAAGCGUUGUCCGGAAUUAUUGGGCGUAAAGAGCUCGUAGGCGGCUUGUCACGUCGGUUGUGAAAGCCCGGGGCUUAACCCCGGGUCUGCAGUCGAUACGGGCAGGCUAGAGUUCGGUAGGGGAGAUCGGAAUUCCUGGUGUAGCGGUGAAAUGCGCAGAUAUCAGGAGGAACACCGGUGGCGAAGGCGGAUCUCUGGGCCGAUACUGACGCUGAGGAGCGAAAGCGUGGGGAGCGAACAGGAUUAGAUACCCUGGUAGUCCACGCCGUAAACGGUGGGCACUAGGUGUGGGCAACAUUCCACGUUGUCCGUGCCGCAGCUAACGCAUUAAGUGCCCCGCCUGGGGGAGUACGGCCGCAGGCUAAACUCAAAGGAAUUGACGG
rnacentral:rRNA from 1 species